rnacentral:rRNA from 1 species
UACGAAGGGGGCUAGCGUUGUUCGGAAUCACUGGGCGUAAAGCGUAUGUAGGCGGAUCGUUAAGUCGGGGGGUGAAAUCCCGAGGCUCAACCUCGGAACUGCCUUUCGAUACUGGCGAUCUUCGAGUCCGGGGAGAGGUGAGUGGGAACUCCGAGUGUAGAGGUGAAAUUCGUAGAUAUUCGGAAGAACACCAGUGGCGAAGGCGGCUCACUGGCCCGGUACUGACGCUGAUAUACGGAAAAGCCGUGGGGGAGCAAAACAGG